rnacentral:rRNA from 1 species
UGAUCAGCGACGCCGCGUGAGGGAUGAAGGCCCUAGGGUCGUAAACCUCUUUCAGCAGGGACGAAAUUGACGGUACCUGCAGAAGAAGCUCCGGCCAACUACGUGCCAGCAGCCGCGGUAAGACGUAGGGGGCGAGCGUUGUCCGGAUUUAUUGGGCGUAAAGGGCUCGUAGGUGGUUGCGUAAGUCGGAUGUGAAAACUCAGGGCUCAACUCUGAGACGCCAUCCGAUACUGCGCUGACUUGAGUCCGGUAGAGGAGUGUGGAAUUCCUAGUGUAGCGGUGAAAUGCGCAGAUAUUAGGAGGAACACCAAUUGCGAAGGCAGCACUCUGGGCCGGCACUGACACUGAGGAGCGAAAGCGUGGGUAGCAAACAGGAUUAGAUACCCUGGUAGUCCACGCCGUAAACGGUGGGCACUAGGUGUGGGGUCUUUCAACGGAUUCCGUGCCGAAGCUAACGCAUUAAGUGCCCCGCCUGGGGAGUACGGCCGCAAGGCUA